GACGAACCGUGCGAACGUUGUUCGGAAUCACUGGGCUUAAAGGGCGCGUAGGCGGGCUGUCAAGUCUGGGGUGAAAUGCCGCGGCUCAACCUGGAACUGCCUUAGAUACUGACGGCCUCGAGGGAGGUAGGGGCGUGCGGAACUGUAGGUGGAGCGGUGAAAUGCGUUGAUAUCUACAGGAACUCCGGUGGCGAAAGCGGCGCGCUGGACCUCUUCUGACGCUGAGGCGCGAAAGCUAGGGGAGCAAACGGG
rnacentral:rRNA from 1 species